rnacentral:rRNA from 1 species
UACGGAGGAUGCGAGCGUUAUCCGGAUUUAUUGGGUUUAAAGGGUGCGUAGGCGGCCGAGUAAGUCAGCGGUGAAAUUUUGCAGCUUAACUGUAACAGUGCCGUUGAUACUGCAUGGCUAGGAUUUGGUUGCUGUGGGUGGAAUGUGUGGUGUAGCGGUGAAAUGCUUAGAUAUCACACAGAAUAUCGAUUGCGAAGGCAGCUCACAAAGCCAAGAUUGACGCUGAGGCACGAAAGUGUGGGGGAUCAAA